UGGUAGUGACGAAAAAUAACAAUGCGGGACUCUUGCGAGUCUGCGUAAUUGGAAUGAGCACACUUUAAAUCCUUUAGCAACAACCAAUUGGAGGGCAAGUCUGGUGCCAGCAGCCGCGGUAAUUCCAGCUCCAAUAGCGUAUAUUAAAGUUGUUGCGGUUAAAAAGCUCGUAGUUCGAGUUCAGUUUCGGACUGGGGUGGGAGGUCACCGCCCGGUGCUUCCCCUUUAGGCUCCGAACAGCUUCCUUAUGUGGAAGCCAACCGGUUCUGCCGGGGUGCUCUUUACCGAGUGUCCCGCGCGGCCGGCCAGUUCACCUUGAAUAAAUGAGAGUGCUCAAAGCAGGCUACUCUGGAAUACAAUGCCCGAAUGUUAACUGCAUGGAAUGAUGGAAGAUGAUCUCGGUUCCAUUUUGUCGGUGGUGGGAGCCAGAGGUAAUGAUAAAGAGGGACUGUCGGGGGCAUCCGUACUACGACGCGAGAGGUGAAAUUCAGUGACCGUCGUAGGACGAACAACAGCGAAAGCAUUUGCCAAGAAUGUCUUCGUUGAUCAAGAACGAAAGUUAGAGGAUCGAAGGCGAUCAGAUACCGCCCUAGUUCUAACCCUAAACGAUGCUGACUAGCAAUUCGCCGUCGUUAUUCCCAUGACGUGGCGAGACGCCCCCGGGAAACCUCAAGUUUUUGAGUUCCGGGGGUAGUAUGGUUGCAAAAGUGAAACUUAAAGGAAUUGACGGAAGGGCACCACCAGGAGUGGAGCCUGCGGCUUAAUUUGACUCAACACGGGAAAGCUCACCAGGCCCGGACACCAGAAGGAUUGACAGAUUAAGAGCUCUUUCUCGAUUUGGUGGGUGGUGGUGCAUGGCCGUUCUU
rnacentral:rRNA from 1 species